rnacentral:rRNA from 1 species
CGGGACGGGUGAGUAAUGUCUGGGAAACUAGCCUGAUGGAGGGGGGUAACUACUGGAAACGGUAGCUAAUACCGCAUAACGUCGCAAGACCAAAGAGGGGGACCUUAGGGCCUCUUGCCAUCGGAUGUGCCCAGAUGGGAUUAGCUAGUAGGUGGGGUAACGGCUCACCUAGGCGACGAUCCCUAGCUGGUCUGAGAGGAUGACCAGCCACACUGGAACUGAGACACGGUCCAG